rnacentral:rRNA from 1 species
UACGUAGGGGGCUAGCGUUGUCCGGAAUCAUUGGGCGUAAAGAGCGUGUAGGCGGCCAGAUAAGUCCGCUGUGAAAUCUCGAGGCUCAACUUCGAGCUGUCGGUGGAAACUAUCUGGCUAGAGUCCGGAAGAGGAGAAUGGAAUUCCUGGUGUAGCGGUGAAAUGCGCAGAGUAUCAGGAAGAACACCCGUGGCGAAGGCGGUUCUCUGGGACGGUACUGACGCUGAGGAGCGAAAGCCAGGGGAGCAAACGGG